CCUACGGGUGGCUGCAGUGGGGAAUAUUGCACAAUGGGCGCAAGCCUGAUGCAGCCAUGCCGCGUGUGUGAAGAAGGUCUUCGGGUUGUAAAGCACUUUCAGCGGGGAGGAAGGCGGUGAGGUUAAUAACCUCAUCGAUUGACGUUACCCGCAGAAGAAGCACCGGCUAACUCCGUGCCAGCAGCCGCGGUAAUACGGAGGGUGCAAGCGUUAAUCGGAAUUACUGGGCGUAAAGCGCACGCAGGCGGUCUGUCAAGUCGGAUGUGAAAUCCCCGGGCUCAACCUGGGAACUGCAUUCGAAACUGGCAGGCUAGAGUCUUGUAGAGGGGGGUAGAAUUCCAGGUGUAGCGGUGAAAUGCGUAGAGAUCUGGAGGAAUACCGGUGGCGAAGGCGGCCCCCUGGACAAAGACUGACGCUCAGGUGCGAAAGCGUGGGGAGCAAACAGGAUUAGAUACCCUUGUAGUC
rnacentral:rRNA from 1 species